CCUGAACCCAAGAGGAGGAGGUUGUGGUGAGCCAAGAUCGCGCUGUCGCACUCCAGCCUGGGCAACAGAGUGAAACUAUAUAAAGCACAUUGGGCCAGGCAUGGUGGCUCACACCUGUAAUCUCAGCACUUUGGGAGGCCAAAGCAGUGGAUCACUUGAGGUCAGCAGUUCGAGAACCAGCCUGGCCAACAUGGUAAAACCUCGUCUCUCCUUGCAUUAUAAUCACCUGGAGGGCUUGGUAAAAGGUUGCUUGGGCCACAUCCCCAGUUUCUGGUUCAGUAGGGCUGGUUUUUUCCUAAGUUCCCAGAUGAUGCUGCUGGCCUGCGGACUGUACUUUGUGAACUUAUGCUGGAGCAGAUGGAUCAGAAACCCCGGCCAGAGGAUGCUCAGGACCCAUCAAGCCCCCGCGAGGAAGGACUCAGACCCCCAACCCCACCAAAUUAAAGCAGGCAAUGGAGAAUUAUACUGAAGGGAUUCUUCGGCUGGGCAAAAACAUGAUUAGAUCUGCAUUCUAAAGACUGCUCGCAGAGUAGAGGAUGGAUUGGAGCAGGGAGUCUACUGCAAUAGUACAGAUGCGAUAGUGAAGACUUCAUUUAAAGCAGCACCAGCAAGAAUGAGGAAGAAGGGAUUAAUAUGAAAAACGUUAAAGAGGUGGAAUGUAUAAGGCUCGAUGGCCGAAUGAUGGGAGGUAGGAAUAGGGAGUGUGUAGAAGGAGUCUAAGAUGACUCCCCGAUCUCUGGUUUGGGGGAAAAAAUGGGUGGGGAUAUCAUUAACUAGGGCAGGUAGUAAUAGGUACCCAGCCUCCAAGACGGCCUGUUCCAUGAUCCCUGCCUCCUUGUAUUCAUGCUCCUGUGUGAACUGAGGUCUGCAGCAAUCACCUGAGUGAGUCUGGAAGCAGAUUCUCCAGCCCAGCCAAGCCUUGAAAUGACAGCAACCCCAGCUGACAGCUAGACUGCAACAUGGUGAGACCCAAAGCCAGAACCACCUUCCUAAGCUACUCCCCGAUUCCUGUCUCUCAGAAAUUUUGUAAAAUAAUAAAGGCUUGUUUUACACUCCUAAGUACCAGAGUAAUUUGUUACGUAGCAACAGACUACUAAUACUUUGGAAUAAUUUGUUACAUAGCAAUAGAUUACUAAUACAGACUUUAGUCCCUGGAAGUGGUGUACUGCUGUAACAAAAAUGAAAAACAUGGGAAUGGCUUUGGAACCAAGCAGUGGGCUUUGAGGCGUGUAAAUGAAAACCUCAAGAAAGAAGCCUCAUAGUCUUUGGUAAGGAUGCAGGUGAGGACAUGGAGGAAAGUGAGGUAAUGUUAUCAGAAAGCAGAAGAAGAGGAAUCCUGGUUAAGAAGAGGCGGAAGGCUUAGCAACACCAUUC
rnacentral:lncRNA from 10 species